GAUGAACGCUGGCGGCGUGCCUAAUACAUGCAAGUCGAGCGGAAAGGCCACUUCGGUGGUACUCGAGCGGCGGACGGCUGAGUAACGCGUAGGAACGUACCCCAAACUGAGGGAUAAGCACCGGAAACGGUGUCUAAUACCGCAUGUGCUCUAAGGAGUAAAGCUUCGGCGGUUUGGGAACGGCCUGCGUAAGAUUAGCUUGUUGGUGAGGUAAUGGCUCACCAAGGCGACGAUCUUUAGCUGGUCUGAGAGGAUGAUCAGCCAGACUGGGACUGAGACACGGCCCAGACUCCUACGGGAGGCAGCAGUAGGGAAUUUUCCACAAUGGGGGCAACCCUGAUGGAGCAACGCCGCGUGCAGGAUGAAUGCCUUCGGGUUGUAAACUGCUUUUAUAUGCGAAGAUUAUGACGGUAGCAUAUGAAUAAGGAUUGGCUAACUCCGUGCCAGCCGCCGCUGUAACAC
rnacentral:rRNA from 1 species